rnacentral:rRNA from 1 species
AUGCACGCUGGCGGCGUGCUUAACACAUGCCAGUCGAACGAAGCACUUUAACCUGAUUCUUCGGAUGAAGGUUUUUGUGACUGAGUGGCGGACGGGUGAGUAACGCGUGGGUAACCUGCCUCAUACAGGGGGAUAACAGUUAGAAAUGACUGCUAAUACCGCAUAAGACCACAGAGCCGCAUGGCUCGGUGGGAAAAACUCCGGUGGUAUGAGAUGGACCCGCGUCUGAUUAGGUAGUUGGUGGGGUAACGGCCUACCAAGCCAACGAUCAGUAGCCGACCUGAGAGGGUGACCGGCCACAUUGGGACUGAGACACGGCCCAAACUCCUACGGGAGGCAGCAGUGGGGAAUAUUGCACAAUGGGGGAAACCCUGAUGCAGCGACGCCGCGUGAGCGAAGAAGUAUUUCGGUAUGUAAAGCUCUAUCAGCAGGGAAGAAAAUGACGGUACCUGACUAAGAAGCACCGGCUAAAUACGUG